CUUCAGUGAUGAUACGAUGACGAGUCAGAUGGGGACAGUCACUGCGGAGGACCCUGUGCAGUGCCACGUUCUGUGUCACUGUACUAGGGGUCUCUCCACUGGAGACGAGUCCCACCUCCUGAUUGAUUUAGAGGCAUUUGUCUGAGAAGG